ACUAGAGGUAGUUUUAGAUGUGCUGAGAGAUAUAGCAGUAUAAAAAGGAGAUAUGAGAAUUCUUAAAAUAAUGAGAAUUCUUCCACUGGUUGCUGGAAGGAUCUCGUAUGUUUUAAGAAGAGAAAAACAUUUAGAAAGGAGCGAAUGCCGUCUGUUUGUCUACAAUACCAUGGUAAAUUAAAACUGUAGUUAAAACUCCAUAAUGCUCUGAUUUGAAUUUGGAAUACUGUCACCAAAUGUCUCUAAUUAUAUGACCGUAAUUUCUUUUGUGUAGAGUACGGUGUCUCAUGCUGCAAAUUUUGAUUUAGACUGAUGUUUACUUGUCAGUGCUGCAUUUAUAGAUUUGAUCUCUUAAGCCAUUUCUUAGAAAUAUAAUUGGUUCAGUUUUUACAUGCAGGAGACAAGACUAGAUGUAUCCAUUUCUUCCGUUUGCAUUUCAACCUUUCAAUAAUUGGUCAUGGUUUUGCCUUAGCAUAAUCAUCAUACUUUAUCCUCUUUGUUAUGUAGUUUACUAACUCUAGUUGUGCUCUUGUGCUAUAGUCAUAAAAUGUUGCAUGGCAGACUCCUGUGAUUGCUCAUGCCUCAUGUCAAAGUAUCUUCUGGGUGCAUGAGACACCAAGACAGGGCUGCUAGGCAGCUUAUAUGAACAGUACCACACAAGGCAUCUUUGGAAGUUAAACUGAGCUGGUGGGUUCGAUGAAGAAGUCAUUAGCUUUGAGACAAAAGCCACUUAAAGCCAUCUUUUCUAAUUCCAAAAAGACCCUUUUCCUUACAAGUAGUUUGAUGCCUUCUGCCUCCUUCUGGAAAAUGACUGAGGCAGCCCUGCACAGAUGGUGAACGUGUCAGUCUCAGGAAGAGAAUAUGCCAAGUUUGGUUGGGAGACCUGCCUUCCUAAUCUGUCAAAGUUAAGACCAAUUGGAGUUGAUUGAGAGGUGUUGAGGCAUCGUCAUUCUUAGCUACAAAACAAGCAACUAGAAAACAAGUGAGCCACCUCUUUUUGGAGAGUACUACUACCCCGUUUGUACAAACUGAACAACACACGUACGUGGAGUUGUUUUUAUGGAUAACUUAGGCUGUGUUUGUCUGAUUGUCACACUCAGGCUCAGCCAUUUUUUCCUAUAUCAGAUGGUGACCAUGUGAAUUCCACAUGGAUCUUGGACUGUUGGGUUACUACCAUUGUCAUUAAUAUAAAUAUAAAUAUAUAUAUUUAUAUGAAUGAUGGUAUGUCCACACAAAAUAUAAACCAAAAUAUUACACGGAAUCAUAUUUUUAAUACGAGGAGUCCCAUUUUAAAUAAAUCUGAUUAGUAUGUGCAGGACCGGCCCUGAAAAAAAGUGGGCCUAAGACGGUUUUAAUAAAUUUGAAAAAAAUGGGCCCUUUUGUAUAUGUAAUUUUUUUAUGUAAAUUUUUUUUUUCUUUUCUUUGAACACACUUCUUAAGUUUACAUGAUAUUUUUGGGCCCUGGGUAGGGGUGGGCCCUAGGCAUAGGCCUAGUCCGCCUAUGCCCAGGGCCGGUCCUGUGUGUAAUGUUUUGGUGCAUAUUUUGUGUGCACAUAUGAAGGACACAUACUUACUCACGCACACUUAUUAGAUUGCGUAUCCAAUUCAAACAUUACAGUCCCACUUCUUAUCAUAUCAUAUUCACUGUAUAUUAUAAUAUUAUUGAUUUGAUCACCCCUUGUUUUAGCAUUAAAUAUCAUAAUUCUAUUAUUAUUAGACAUUAUCUUUCCUUUUUUAAUAUAAAUAAAUAAGUUAUUGUACUUUGAUUUUAAUACUAAAAACAAAUGGGCUAGAUUCUGAUUAAUAAAUUGUCUAUGAUUUUAGUGCCUAUGCUAGAUCAAGUUGUGGCCUAUGAUUUUGAUUUCUAUUCUAGAACAAGUUGUGGCCUAUGAUUUUGAUUUCUAUACUAGGCACCUAAUCCUACAAUAUUUUUGAUUAGGCUCCCACUAGUUGUAUUUUUUUUACUCUUCACAUUGUGAGUCUCAAAUAUUAAUUCUAAACAUAGGGAUAUGUGGUUACAAAGUUAAUAUGGAUGAGUUACCAAUUUUUCAAAGAGCUAUUGGAUUACUGACAAUAAUUUUUUAUGUUUACGAGUUACCAACAUAGGAAAUAUAUCGAUCUUCUUCUCCAACAACGGGUUCGAUGUGGGAGCGAGCGAUCAAGACUGGUAAGUUCAGCAACUACUGCAGCCCCUGUUUCUUCAUGGGGAACUCCGGGUUGAGUUACUCGAAACGCUACCAAGAUGGAAAAGUCAAAGGGUAUAAGUUUUUCUUAUCAACUAUCUUUAUGUUUUAUUAUGGUGGCAAGAAGCCUCUGCUUGUUAUUUGCAAGUGAUUUUAAAAAAAAAAAUAAAGAAAAUGAAAAUGAAAAAGAAAAGGAAAAAAGCCAGCACCAAUAAGUCACCCAUCAAAUCCCAAACCAUAGAGACAAUAUAUUCAACUCUGUUAACCAUAUUCCACUCUGUCCUGAGUUACUUGGAUGAUUUUAUUAACUCUAUGCAAAGAAAUUCGAUGCUUCAAAUACAUAAUACAUAUUCGUACAAGUAAUCGUCCAAACAUGAAAAAAAAAGUCAGUGUCUGAGUAGUGAGUUCCCAAAAUAGCCAACCAAAUGGCCUUUGUUGGAUUGGAUUGUUUACAAAAAUCUCAAGUAAAGAAGAUUUAAAAUUAUUAUGAUUAAAGAGGAGUGAUAACACUAGUCUCUUAUUUCAACUUCUUAGUUAAUCUCAACACAUGUUGGAGUAUUUUUAUUUCAAUUUUUUUUACGGCUAUGUUCGUUAUAGUUACAACAUCAUUUCCGCAAAUAUUUGAAAAAUUCUGAGUAGUUGUCGAAAACAUGUUU